AUUGAACGCUGGCGGCAUGCCUUACACAUGCAAGUCGAACGGUAACGGGCCUUCGGGUGCCGACGAGGGGCGAACGGGUGAGGAAUACAUCGGAACGUACCCGAUCCUAGUGGUUAACGGGGCGAAACCUAUGCUAAUACCCCCUACGACCUACGGAGGCAAGCAGGUGACCGCAAGGGCUUUCGCGGACUUGGCCGCCGAUGGCAGAUUAGGUAGGUGGUGGGAUAAAAGCUUACCAAGCCGACGAUCUGUAGCUGGUCUGAGAGGAUGAUCAGCCACACUGGGACUGAGACACGGCCCAGACUCCUACGGGAGGCAGCAGUGGGGAAUUUUGGACAAUGGGCGCAAGCCUGAUCCAGCCAUGCCGCGUGCAGGAUGAAGGCCUUCGGAUUGUAAACUGCUUUUGUACGGAACGAAAAGCCUUCUUUUAAUACAGGAGGGUCAUGACGGUACCGUAAGAAUAAGCACCGGCUAACUACGUG
rnacentral:rRNA from 1 species